ACUAGGAGGUUGGCUCAGAAGCAGCCAUCCUUUAAAGAGUGCGUAACAGCUCACUAGUCGAGUGACCCUGCGCCGAAAAUGUACCGGGGCUAAGCCUGAUACCGAAACUGCGGAUUGUAGGAAACUAUAGUGGUAGGGGAGCGUUGUAUACGAGCAGAAGCCGUACCGUGAGGAGCGGUGGAUUGUAUAGAAGUGAGAAUGCCGGUGUGAGUAGCGAGAUGUAGGUGAGAAUCCUACACACCGAAAGCCCAAGGAUUCCAGGGGAAGGUUCGUCCGCCCUGGGUAAGUCGGGACCUAACGCGAGGCCGAAAGGCGUAGUGGAUGGAAAGCAGGCGAAAGAUUCCUGCACCCGUAUAUGGAGCGAAGGAGUGACGGAGACGGAUAGUGUGACCCUCUUAAUGGAUUGAGGGCGAAGCGAAGCGGCUGGUUACCAGGCAAAUCCGGUAACCAUAAGGCUAGAGCGUGACAGGUAAGCGAAAUCUUCGGAAAGUAGCGAAGCACAUGAUGACGGCUUCCAGGAAAAGCUUCUGGCAAUGCAUAUGCGGCCCGUACCAAAACCGACACAGGUGGGCAGGGAGAGAAUCCCGAGGUGAGCGAGAGAACUGUUGCCAAGGAACUCGGCAAAAUGACUCCGUAAGUUAGCGAGAAGGAGUGCUUAAGCAAUUAAGCCGCAGUGAAGAGGCCCAAGCGACUGUUUAACUAAAACACAGCUCUCUGCGAAGUCGCAAGACGAAGUAUAGGGGGUGACACCUGCCCGGUGCUGGAAGGUUAAGAGGAUCUGUUAAGAGCGAUCUGAAGCAGUGAUCCGAAGCCCCAGUGAACGGCGGCCGUAACUAUAACGGUCCUAAGGUAGCGAAAUUCCUUGUCAGGUAAGUUCUGACCCGCACGAAAGGUGUAACGAUUUGGGCGCUGUCUCGGCAGCAGACUCGGUGAAAUCUUAGUACCUGUGAAAAUGCAGGUUACCCGCAACUAGACGGAAAGACCCCAUGGAGCUUUACUGCAGCCUGAUAUUGAAUUCUGGUCAUACAUGUACAGGAUAGGUGGGAGACAAAGAGACGUGCACGCCAGUGUACGAGGAGUCGACGUUGGGAUACCACUCUUGUGUGACCGGGGUUCUAACCUGGUAUCGAGAACAGGUACGGGGAGAGUGUCAGGUGGGCAGUUUGACUGGGGCGGUCGCCUCCCAAAGAGUAACGGAGGCGCCCAAAGGUACGCUCAGAUUGGAUGGAAACCAAUCGACGAGUGCAAUUGCAGAAGCGUGCUUGACUGUGAGACUUACAAGUCGAACAGGGACGAAAGUCGGGAAUAGUGAUCCGGCGGUGCCGAAUGGAAGGGCCGUCGCUCAACGGAUAAAAGCUACCCUGGGGAUAACAGGCUGAUCUCCCCCAA
rnacentral:rRNA from 1 species